AGUGAACGCUGGCGGUAGGCCUAACACAUGCAAGUCGAACGGCAGCACAGUAAGAGCUUGCUCUUACGGGUGGCGAGUGGCGGACGGGUGAGGAAUACAUCGGAAUCUACUUUUUCGUGGGGGAUAACGUAGGGAAACUUACGCUAAUGCCGCAUACGACCUACGGGUGAAAGCAGGGGAUCUUCGGACCUUGCGCGAUUGAAUGAGCCGAUGUCGGAUUAGCUAGUUGGCGGGGUAAAGGCCCACCAAGGCGACGAUCCGUAGCUGGUCUGAGAGGAUGAUCAGCCACACUGGAACUGAGACACGGUCCAGACUCCUACGGGAGGCAGCAGUGGGGAAUAUUGGACAAUGGGCGCAAGCCUGAUCCAGCCAUACCGCGUGGGUGAAGAAGGCCUUCGGGUUGUAAAGCCCUUUUGUUGGGAAAGAAAGGCAGCAGGUUAAUACCCCGCUGUUCUGACGGUACCCAAAGAAUAAGCACCGGCUAACUUCGUG
rnacentral:rRNA from 1 species